UACAGAGGUCUCAAGCGUUGUUCGGAUUCAUUGGGCGUAAAGGGUGCGUAGGUGGCGUCGUAAGUCAGGUGUGAAAUUUCGGAGCUUAGCUCCGAAACUGCAUUUGAUACUGCGGUGCUUGAGGACUGGAGAGGAGACUGGAAUUUACGGUGUAGCAGUGAAAUGCGUAGAGAUCGUAAGGAAGACCAGUGGCGAAGGCGGGUCUCUGGACAGUUCCUGACACUGAGGCACGAAGGCCAGGGGAGCAAACGGG
rnacentral:rRNA from 1 species